CAGUCGCCGCGGUAAUACGAAGGGGGCUAGCGUUGUUCGGAUUUAUUGGGCGUAAAGGGCUCGUAGGUGGUUGAUCGCGUCGGAAGUGUAAUCUUGGGGCUUAACCCUGAGCGUGCUUUCGAUACGGGUUGACUUGAGGAAGGUAGGGGAGAAUGGAAUUCCUGGUGGAGCGGUGGAAUGCGCAGAUAUCAGGAGGAACACCAGUGGCGAAGGCGGUUCUCUGGGCCUUUCCUGACGCUGAGGAGCGAAAGCGUGGGGAGCGAACAGGCUUAGAUACCCCUGUAGUCCCUGUCUCUUAUAC
rnacentral:rRNA from 1 species